CCAUUAUCUAGACAGGCAUGCAUUUCUAGAUAUGCUGGAAAUCUCCUGUUGUAUGUUUCAGGGGCAUCUCAAGAUUAAUAUGUCCAAUAGAAUAUUGAUCUUACCACAGAACCUGCUCUAGGCAUCUUGUCAAUUACACUUCAUGGUGUGAAGAUCCCAUCCAGCUGUUCACAUGGGAAACUCAGGGGCCAUGCUUGGGUGCUUGUCUUCCCUACUCCUGCCUCUGUUUCAACUGGCCUAACAUCAAGUCCUGUUAGCAGCUUAAUAGAAAGAGCAACUCUAGAAGAAGGAGCCUUCAACAAACCUUUUCCUUCCCACCUGAACUUCAAAAUUUCUAUACACCAGAAAAACUCACAAAUGGAAACAGAAUCACCAAGACACUUUGUUAGCUCACCAAGUCAAUGAAAAAACUCUCAUUCAGCACUGCUUCUAGCCCCUGAGCUGAGACAGUCACAGAAACAGAGUCUUGCUUUGUCUCCAAGUCUGGAGUGUGGUGGCAAUAUCUCGGCUCACUGCAACCUCUGCCUGCCAGGUUCGAGUGAUUAUCCUGCCUUAGUCUCCUGAGUAGCUGGGAUCACAGGU
rnacentral:lncRNA from 13 species